rnacentral:rRNA from 1 species
UACGUAGGGUGCAAGCGUUAAUCGGAAUUACUGGGCGUAAAGCGUGCGCAGGCGGUGAUGUAAGACAGGUGUGAAAUCCCCGGGCUUAACCUGGGAACUGCAUUUGUGACUGCAUAGCUAGAGUACGGUAGAGGGGGAUGGAAUUCCGCGUGUAGCAGUGAAAUGCGUAGAUAUGCGGAGGAACACCGAUGGCGAAGGCAAUCCCCUGGACCUGUACUGACGCUCAGGCACGAAAGCGUGGGGAGCAAACAGG